AUUGAACGCUGGCGGCAUGCCUUACACAUGCAGGUCGAACGGCAGCACGGGAGUAAUCCUGGUGGCGAGUGGCGAACGGGUGAGUAAUAUAUCGGAACGUGCCCAGUCGUGGGGGAUAACGCAGCGAAAGCUGUGCUAAUACCGCAUACGAUCUACGGAUGAAAGCGGGGGAUCGCAAGACCUCGCGCGAUUGGAGCGGCCGAUAUCAGAUUAGCUAGUUGGUGGGGUAAAGGCUCACCAAGGCGACGAUCUGUAGCUGGUCUGAGAGGACGACCAGCCACACUGGAACUUGGACACGGUCCAGACUCCUACGGGAGGCAGCAGUGGGGAAUUUUGGACAAUGGGCGCAAGCCUGAUCCAGCAAUGCCGCGUGCAGGAUGAAGGCCUUCGGGUUGUAAACUGCUUUUGUACGGAGCGAAACGGUCUUUCCUAAUACGAGAGGCUAAUGACGGUACCGUAAGAAUAAGCACCGGCUAACUACGUGCCAGCCGCCGCCGUAA
rnacentral:rRNA from 1 species